rnacentral:rRNA from 1 species
GAUGAACGCUGGCGGCGUGCCUAAUACAUGCAAGUCGAGCGAACAGACGAGGAGCUUGCUCCUCUGACGUUAGCGGCGGACGGGUGAGUAACACGUGGAUAACCUACCUAUAAGACUGGGAUAACUUCGGGAAACCGGAGCUAAUACCGGAUAACAUGUUGAACCGCAUGGUUCAACAGUGAAAGACGGUCUUGCUGUCACUUAUAGAUGGAUCCGCGCCGCAUUAGCUAGUUGGUAAGGUAACGGCUUACCAAGGCAACGAUGCGGAGCCGACCUGAGAGGGUGAUCGGCCACACUGGAACUGAGACACGGUCCAGACUCCUACGGGAGGCAGCAGUAGGGAAUCUUCCGCAAUGGGCGAAAUCCUGACGGAGCAACGCCGCGUGAGUGAAGAAGGUCUUCGGAUCGUAAAACUCUGUUAUUAGGGAAGAACAAAUGUGUAAGUAACUAUGCACGUCUUGACGGUACCUAAUCAGAAAGCCACGGCUAACUACGUG